rnacentral:rRNA from 1 species
UGAGGAAUAUUGGUCAAUGGACGAGAGUCUGAACCAGCCAAGUAACGUGAAGGAUGACUGCCCUAUGGGUUGUAAACUUCUUUUAUAUGGGAAUAAAAUGUUCCACGUGUGGGAUUUUGUAUGUACCAUAUGAAUAAGGAUCGGCUAACUCCGUGCCAGCAGCCGCGGUAAUACGGAGGAUCCGAGCGUUAUCCGGAUUUACUGGGUUUAAAGGGAGCGUAGGUGGAUUGUUAAGUCAGUUGUGAAAGUUUGCGGCUCAACCGUAAAAUUGCAGUUGAAACUGGCAGUCUUGAGUACAGUAGAGGUGGGCGGAAUUCGUGGUGUAGCGGUGAAAUGCUUAGAUAUCACGAAGAACUCCGAUUGCGAAGGCAGCUCACUGGACUGCAACUGACACUGAGGCUCGAAAGUGUGGGUAUCAAACAGG